GUUCCGGGCUAAUACUAAUGUUAACCCUAAAGAAGAAUGCAAAGUUGUGGUGACAAGUGAUGAAGGAAGAGCUGAAAGGAAGUUGUAGAGAUUGGAAACAGUGAUCAAAAGGAGGAAGGUGAAGCCAUUGAGAGUAGCAACAGUAGUUGAGGAGAAGAAGAAGAGGAAGCAAGAGAUAGUCAUAAUGAGCAGAACAAAGAAAUUUAUAAUCAAAUAACUAUUAUGCCUUCAAUUAUCAAACAGAUUCCUACAAGAAUGAAAUUUUAUCUUGGAGAUAUGAUAGAUUUAGAUGAAGAUGAUGAUGAGUAGGAAUUUGAGAUUCAACCUCCAAGGAAUUAUCCGCUUAAAGUAAAAG
rnacentral:lncRNA from 1 species